rnacentral:lncRNA from 1 species
ACACAGAGAACACACUGUUACACAUCCAAGCUACUUUUCUAUCCUAUGCAUCGUAUGAAUCAAGCGGUGAAACCGAGCCUUUCGAGAACCCGCCAGAUAUUUCCCUCGGAUCUGUGGCUACUGAUUUGCUAACCCUCUGCUUUUUUUCUCUCUCCUCCAUGGAAAAAAAGAGAGAGAGAGAGAGAGAUGGAGGACUCUCGAGUAUUUCGAAAAAUACGCUAGAAAACUCGUAUCGCGAUCAUAGUAAAUAUACUCUGCACAUAUCGAUCGUGGAAUAAUGUAUACAUCCAUUUUAAAAUGUGGAUACUUUAAACGUGACGACUUUAAGUUCUAUUAAUUGGUUACAAUUUUCGAAUAUAUUGCACAAUUAUUAUCGUUAUUUCUUUGCUAUAUUGGUCUUGAAAAAAUAUAAAAUGAGAGAAGAAAAAAAAAGUAAGAUCGUUCGAUACUAUCGCGAUUACUGUACAAUCACAAAUUUUAUUACUUAUCGGAAAGAAAGAAAGAGAGAGAAAAAGAGAAAGAGUUCUAUUAUUUAAGUUUUAUUACCCGCGGAAAGAAAGUCGAAAGAUUCAUAUACCAUCGAUACAUCUUCGAGUGUGUUAAACUCCGUAAAUCUCGAUAGUAGAAAUAACUUUUUUCUUUCUUUAUUUCUUUCGAAGAUGAAAAGCAUGAAAGUUCUCGAUAAACGAUUAGAACGUAAUUCCCGAGAAGGAUAUCGUUUGUACCGAAGAUGGAAAAUGAUAUCGUUUGAACCAAAGAUAGAGUUGGAUCGUGCGUCGAGACGGAUACGCCUCUAGAAAAACGAGAUAGAAAGAGUUCAAACUCGAUGUACACUUUUUGGUGGGUGGACACUUAAGCUGACUGUUAAAAAAAAAAAAAAAGAAAAAAGAAAAAGGAAAAA